CGGACGGGUGAGUAAUGCUUAGGAAUCUGCCUAUUAGUGGGGGACAACAUUCCGAAAGGAAUGCUAAUACCGCAUACGUCCUACGGGAGAAAGCAGGGGAUCUUCGGACCUUGCGCUAAUAGAUGAGCCUAAGUCGGAUUAGCUAGUUGGUGGGGUAAAGGCCUACCAAGGCGACGAUCUGUAGCGGGUCUGAGAGGAUGAUCCGCCACACUGGGACUGAGACACGGCCCAGACUCCUACGGGAGGCAGCAGUGGGGAAUAUUGGACAAUGGGGGGAACCCUGAUCCAGCCAUGCCGCGUGUGUGAAGAAGGCCUUAUGGUUGUAAAGCACUUUAAGCGAGGAGGAGGCUACUGAGACUAAUACUCUUGGAUAGUGGACGUUACUCGCAGAAUAAGCACCGGCUAACUCUGUGCCAGCAGCCGCGGUAAUACAGAGGGUGCGAGCGUUAAUCGGAUUUACUGGGCGUAAAGCGUGCGUAGGCGGCUUUUUAAGUCGGAUGUGAAAUCCCCGAGCUUAACUUGGGAAUUGCAUUCGAUACUGGGAAGCUAGAGUAUGGGAGAGGAUGGUAGAAUUCCAGGUGUAGCGGUGAAAUGCGUAGAGAUCUGGAGGAAUACCGAUGGCGAAGGCAGCCAUCUGGCCUAAUACUGACGCUGAGGUACGAAAGCAUGGGGAGCAAACAGGAUUAGAUACCCUGGUAGUCCAUGCCGUAAACGAUGUCUACUAGCCGUUGGGGCCUUUGAGGCUUUAGUGGCGCAGCUAACGCGAUAAGUAGACCGCCUGGGGAGUACGGUCGCAAGACUAAAACUCAAAUGAAUUGACG
rnacentral:rRNA from 1 species